AACUCUCAUGAUUCAGCAGCAAACAAAAAAAGGGGAAAAGAAAAAUUAGAAGAUAAAAGAAAAGCUAAUGGUGGUCUUAUUGAUGAUGAGUUUUGCUGGAGUGGUUGAAGCAUUACUUAAAGUGAUCGGUGUAGGUGGGACGUUUAUGGAGUUGAUUAUCACACCCGUGAGCGAGAGAAAGAGAGGCUUAAAGAUACUGCCUACCGACCAUCAAGGUUUAGAGAGAUAGCCCAAAACCCAUGACCUUUCUUAUAGCCCUACCCCCAAUUUCAUUCAUUCCUCUCCUUAUCUUCGUCUAAAAGAAGGUUUAGAUUCUCUGGGCAAGUUCUUUGUGGAGUUGCAGGUCAUUCCAGAGCCUCUCGGAGGACAGACAGAGAAACAGCAAUGGAGACUGAAGAGAUGACAAACAAGGAUAUGAAGGUGGAAAUUUCAGCUGUAGCAGAAGGGUUAGGUGUGCCAGUGCUCACAAGACAGCCAAGUAACGCGAAGAGCAAUUGCCUCUGCUCUCCAACUACACAUGCAGGUUCAUUUCGGUGCAGGCUUCACCGUGCGCCUAGCCUCCAACGCACCAAGAGCAUGGAUUCAGCUUCACAACGGGAGUCAUUCCCCAAGGUUAACUCUGCCAGUGGGAAUACUACUAAUAACGCAAACACAGUAGAGGCCCAGUAAUUCUAAUAAAUAAUUGUUCCAUAUUUUAUUUGUUCUGGGUAAGUAACCAGUGUUUGUUGUUGCUGCUACAUUUCUGUUUCCCUUGUUAUUAUGCAUGUAAAGAAGUUCCUUUCGUUUUACCUCUCAAUUCUGUAUCCACUUCUUUGUUAUUACAACUAAGGCCCCCCUCGUUCCGAGAUUA